rnacentral:rRNA from 1 species
GACGAACGCUGGCGGCGUGCUUAACACAUGCAAGUCGAACGGAAAGGCCCUGCUUUUGUGGGGUGCUCGAGUGGCGAACGGGUGAGUAACACGCGAGUAACCUGCCCUUAACUUUGGGAUAACUCCAGGAAACUGGGGCUAAUACCGGAUAGGAGCUCCUGCUGCAUGGGGGGGGUUGGAAAGUUUCGGCGGUUGGGGAUGGACUCGCGGCUUAUCAGCUUGUUGGUGGGGUAGUGGCUUACCAAGGCUUUGACGGGUAGCCGGCCUGAGAGGGUGACCGGCCUCAUUGGGCCUGAGGUACGGCGCAGACGCCUACGGGAGGCAGCAGUGGGGAAUAUUGCACAAUGGGCGGAAGCCUGAUGCAGCAGCGCUGCGUGCGGGAUGACGGCCUUCGAGUUGUGAACCGCUUUCGCCGGUGACGAAGCGUGCGUGACGGUAAUGGGUCAAGAAGCAACGGCUAACUACGUG